GGUCAGUGUGUGGCACGAGGAACAGGC
rnacentral:piRNA from 1 species